GACGAACGCUGACGGUGUGCUUUAGACAUGCAAGUCGAACGAGAAAGCCCUUCGGGGUGAGUAAAGUGGCGAACGGGUGAGUAACACGUGGGUAACCUGCCCCUCGCAGAGGGAUAACCGGGGGAAACCCCGGCUAAUACCCCGUACGCUUGCCGGGUCGCAUGGCUCGGCAAGGCACGGUAGUUGCGGCCAUCCGGCGAGGGAUGGGCCCGCGGUCCAUUAGCAAGUUGGUGGGGUAACGGCCCCCCAAGGCGCAGAUGGAUAGCUGGUCAGAGAGGAGGAUGAGGCACACUGGGAGUGAGACACGGCCCAGACUCCGACGGGAGGCAGCAGUCGGGAAUCUUGCGCAAUGGGCGAAAGCCUGACGCAGCAACACCGUGUGGGCGACGAAGGCCUUCGGGUCGUAAAGCCCUGUUGUUGGGGACGAAGGACGAAGGGUUAAUAGCCGCUAGUCUGACGGUACCCUUCGAGGAAGCCCCGGCUAACUACGUGCCAGCCGCCGCCGUAACAC
rnacentral:rRNA from 1 species